CAAUAAGCGGAGGAAAAGAAACUAACAAGGAUUCCCCUUMGUAACUGCGAAGUGAAGCGGGAAAAGCUCAAAUUUAAAAUCUGGCGGUCUCCGGCCGUCCGAGUUGUAGUUUCGAGAAGCGUCUUCCGCGCUGGACCGUGUACAAGUCUCCUGGAACGGAGCGUCGUAGAGGGUGAGAAUCCCGUCUUUGACACGGACUGCCAGUGCUUUGUGAUGCGCUCUCAAAGAGUCGCGUUGUUUGGGAAUGCAGCGCAAAAUGGGUGGUGAACUCCAUCUAAAGCUAAAUAUUGGGGAGAGACCGAUAGCGAACAAGUACCGUGAGGGAAAGAUGAAAAGCACUUUGGAAAGAGAGUGAAACAGUACGUGAAAUUGCUGAAAGGGAAACGCUUGAAGUCAGUCGCGUCGGCCGGGAUUCAGCCUUGCUUCGGCACGGCGUACUUUCCGGUCGACGGGCCAACAUCAUUUUCGGUCGCCGGAGAAGGGCGGGGGGAAGGUGGCACCUCCGGGUGUGUUAUAGCCCCUCGUCGUAUACGGUGGCUGGGAGUGAGGACCGCAGCGCGCCCUUUGGUUGGGGGUUCGCCCCACAAUCGCGCUUAGGAUGUUGGCGUAAUGGCUUUAAACGACCCGUCUUGAAACACGGACCAAGGAGUCCAACGUGCCUGCGAGUGUUCGGGUGGAAAACCCGUGCGCGCAAUGAAAGUGAAAGUUGGGAACCCUGUCGUGGGGUGCACCGACGCCCGGCCCUGAGCUUCUGCGACGGUGCUGCGGUAGAGCRUGUACGUUGGGACCCGAAAGAUGGUGAACUAUGCCUGAAUAGGGUGAAGCCAGAGGAAACUCUGGUGGAGGCUCGUAGCGAUUCUGACGUGCAAAUCGAUUCGUCAAAUUUGGGUAUAGGGGCGAAAGACUAAUCGAACCAUCUAGUAGCUGGUCUCGC
rnacentral:rRNA from 1 species